rnacentral:lncRNA from 1 species
CCAAGAGAAUCGCUGAUGCCACUGCAUGGAAGUUAAUGGCAUGGAUUAAUAAUUCAUAGACAUAAAUGAAUGUGUAAGGGCACAUAUAUAAACAAAUACAGUAAAUGUGAUAAAAUCUUCCAGAAAUAGGCACCACAUCUUAUAGAAGUUGAGAUAAACUUUAAAGUUCUUCAGAGAGUCAAAGGAUGAGAUAAAAUAUGGAUUUUAAAUACUGCUUCUUGAACUGACUCUGAUCUUAGAAUAUAUU